CUAGCACAGUGAAACUGCGAAUGGCUCAUUAGAUCAGUUAUGGUUCCUUAGACGAUACAAUCCUACUUGGAUAACUGUGGUAAUUCUAGAGCUAAUACAUGCACUCUAGCUCCGACCCUUUCGCGAGGGGAAGAGCGCGUUUAUCAGUUCGAAGCCAGCCGGGUUGCAAAACUCGACUCUUUGGUGACUCUGGAUAACUCUUGCGGAUCGCACGGUCUCGAACCGGCGACGCGUCUAUCAAGUGUCUGCCCUAUCAGACUGUCGAUGGUAAGUGCUAUGCUUACCAUGGUGAUAACGGGUAACGGGGAAUCAGGGUUCGAUUCCGGAGAGGGAGCAUGAGAAACGGCUACCACA
rnacentral:rRNA from 1 species